AUGCACCAGGAGCCCGACGUGGGAUUCGAUCCUGGGUCCUCAGGAUCGGGCCCUGGGCCAAAGGCAGGCGCCAAACCGCUGCGCCACCCAGGGAUCCCACGUUACCUAUUUUUAUUGAAGUUGAGCUUCCUGUCUUGUGUCAAGGUUCUCCCACUUCAAAGAACAGCCAGCAGAGAGUUAUUGCUCCUUCCUGAGGCGUUCUCCUGGACAGAAGUCUACAAGGGCCUUCCCAUAUUUCCCUAUUCUGCCCAGGCAGAGAGGGGAAGAUUUUUUUCCUUCCUAGUUCUCUGAACGAGCCUGAAGAGAAUUCUUCAUGAUGAGCACUUUAAAGCUAGAUUUCAGAAGAUCUACUUGUCUCUCUGAUGAGCCAAGAAGAAAACUUGCCUACAAAGGAAAUCCAAGAGCCUGAAGAGGAAGAGGAAGACAUUGGCUAUGACAUUGCAUUAGACCCCUGACUGGUCAAUAACUUUACCAGGUGCUUAAUUCCCCCCGAAGCAGUCAUCAGACCCUUGGCAAUGGGUGGUCACUACCUCAUAAGCAAAGUGUUUUAUUUUUAGCAAUUGUCUCCAGUGGCUUGCUCACAUUGCCCCUCAAAGAGAUGAGAUUCCAAUGUCCUCAUUGUAGUGGAUAUUUGUUCUCUUUCACCUCAUACCCAGACUUUCCUGACUUGUCUGCCCAGAGGCAAGGCCAGUGGUGCUUUCAUGGGACCAAUCCUGUGGUGUGUUAUUUUAAAGAUUCUUGAUCAGUUUUUGCUUUUCUAUUAGGUUUCUAAAGUUUUCCAUUGGUAUUUUGAUUGAAAUAAGUUAGUCCUAUAAACUAUUGGGAAAAUUUGUUAGCUUUAAAAUUUUGUUUCCCGUCCAAAAACAUGCAUUUCCAUUUAUUAAAGUAUUAAAUUCCUGAAUAAAUUUUUCUAAUUUUCUUCA
rnacentral:lncRNA from 12 species